rnacentral:rRNA from 1 species
UACGAAGGGUGCAAGCGUUAAUCGGAAUUACUGGGCGUAAAGAGCGCGCAGGCGGUCGGAUUAGUCGCGUGUGAAAGCCCCCGGCUCAACUGGGGAGGGUCACGCGAUACUGUUCGACUCGAAGGCAGGAGAGGGAAGUGGAAUUCCCGGUGUAGUGGUGAAAUGCGUAGAUAUCGGGAGGAACACCAGUGGCGAAGGCGACUUCCUGGCCUGUUCUUGACGCUGAGGCGCGAAAGCUAGGGUAGCAAACGGG